UCCAGCAGCCAUAUAACCCUGCAACUCACAACUUGCAACCAACUGAAGCUAAGGUGUGAACCUGGUCAGUACCUGGAUGGGAGACCUCCUGGGAACCACUAAGGUUACUGCUGGAA
rnacentral:rRNA from 1 species